rnacentral:tRNA from 1 species
GCGAGGGUGGCGGAAUUGGUAGACGCACUGGAUUUAGGUUCCAGCGGGGAGACCCGUGCGGGUUCGAGUCCCGCCUCUCGCA